CAUAGAUAGGAUAUCAGGAGACAAAAAUGCCAGGAAAGAGAAUAGUGCAGUGUGUGUGUGAGGGUGCAGUGUGUGUGUGAGUGUGCUGUGUGCCUGUGAGGAAGCUGUGAGUGUCAGGGGUGCAGUGUGUGUGUGAGUUUGAGUAAGGGUGCUGUGAGUGUAAGGGGUGCAGUGUGUGUGUGUGAGGGUGCUGUGUGUGUGAGGGUGUGUGUGCAAG